GCUACAGGCUUAACACAUGCAAGUCGAGGGGCAGCAUGGUCUUAGCUUGCUAAGGCCGAUGGCGACCGGCGCACGGGUGAGUAACACGUAUCCAACCUGCCGUCUACUCUUGGACAGCCUUCUGAAAGGAAGAUUAAUACAAGAUGGCAUCAUGAGUCCACAUGUUCACAUGAUUAAAGGUAUUCCGGUAGACGAUGGGGAUGCGUUCCAUUAGAUAGUAGGCGGGGUAACGGCCCACCUAGUCUUCGAUGGAUAGGGGUUCUGAGAGGAAGGUCCCCCACAUUGGAACUGAGACACGGUCCAAACUCCUACGGGAGGCAGCAGUGAGGAAUAUUGGUCAAUGGGCGAGAGCCUGAACCAGCCAAGUAGCGUGAAGGAUGACUGCCCUAUGGGUUGUAAACUUCUUUUAUAAAGGAAUAAAGUCGGGUAUGGAUACCCGUUUGCAUGUACUUUAUGAAUAAGGAUCGGCUAACUCCGUGCCAGCAGCCGCGGUAAUACGGAGGAUCCGAGCGUUAUCCGGAUUUAUUGGGUUUAAAGGGAGCGUAGAUGGAUGUUUAAGUCAGUUGUGAAAGUUUGCGGCUCAACCGUAAAAUUGCAGUUGAUACUGGAUAUCUUGAGUGCAGUUGAGGCAGGCGGAAUUCGUGGUGUAGCGGUGAAAUGCUUAGAUAUCACGAAGAACUCCGAUUGCGAAGGCAGCCUGCUAAGCUGCAACUGACAUUGAGGCUCGAAAGUGUGGGUAUCAAACAGGAUUAGAUACCCUGGUAGUCCACACGGUAAA
rnacentral:rRNA from 1 species